rnacentral:rRNA from 1 species
AGCAGCCGCGGUAAUUCCAGCUCCAAUAGCGUAUAUUAAAGUUGUUGCAGUUAAAAAGCUCGUAGUUGAAUUUCGGGAUUGACGUGAUGGUCGUGCCUUAAGGGGUAUGAACUGUCGCAGUUGAUUUCUCACCUUCUGGAGAAGCAUGAUGUCCUUAAUUGGGUGUCAUGUGGAACCAGGACCUUUACCUUGAAAAAAUUAGAGUGUUUAAAGCAGGCAUUUUGCUCGAAUACAUUAGCAUGGAAUAAUAGAAUAGGACGGCAUGGUUCUAUUUUGUUGGUUUCUAGGAUCACCGUAAUGAUUAAUAGGGAUAGUUGGGGGCAUUAGUAUUCAAUUGUCAGAGGUGAAAUUCUUGGAUUUAUUGAAGACUAACUACUGCGAAAGCAUUUGCCAAGGAUGUUUUCAUUAAUCAAGAACGAAAGUUAGGGGAUCGGAAGACGAUCAGAUACCGUCGUAGUCUUAACCAUAAACUAUGCCGACUAGGAAUCAGACGAUGUUAAUUUUUAAUGACUUCGUUU